UCCUACGGGACGCAGCAGUGGGGAAUAUUGCACAAUGGGGGAAACCCUGAUGCAGCGACGCCGCGUGAGUGAGGAAGUAUUUCGGUAUGUAAAGCUCUAUCAGCAGGGAAGAAAAUGACGGUACCUGACUAAGAAGCCCCGGCUAACUACGUGCCAGCAGCCGCGGUAAUACGUAGGUGGCGAGCGUUGUCCGGAUUUACUGGGUGUAAAGGGCGUGUAGCCGGGCAGGCAAGUCAGAUGUGAAAUCCAUGGGCUCAACCCAUGAACUGCAUUUGAAACUGCUUGUCUUGAGUACUGGAGAGGCA
rnacentral:rRNA from 1 species